GUGCUGACAUUACCCCCGGUUUUCCCCUUCACCUUCACUGACAUCAACUUGUAGCUGUCUUCAUUUGUCUGCUCCGUUGAAGAAGUUGAUUGUUCAUUUUAAAUCAGAAAUAAAAGAAGGCUACCAGCCACCAGAAAGUCAUUAAAGACUGCAGUUUCUCUAAGGAGAGAGAUCAGGAGGAAAUACCGAGGAAGCUAACAGCCCCUAACAGAUACAAAGGAUACUGGACUGAGAAGAACCGCUCUGUAAUGGAUCUCUAUUCUCCAAACCACUCAGGCUAACUCUUUGAACAAUGUGAAGGACCAGAGCAGGAGUUCAUGAACAGGACCUGUUUGUGAAAAGUAAAUAAGCUGCAUUAUCUCCGAGCUACGAGGUGCAUUUGAACACGUUUCCGCUUAAAUGCAACCUGCAUCUGAUGAAAGUAAUCUGAUUAAAAGGAAGAAGCUGUGGAUCGUUACACCUCUCCAGUUCACCAAGCUGCAGCAGAUAAUCUGAUCAUUCCCCAAAGCAAAAUAUAUAUGUUAGAAACGAAGGGUCUGAGAAGGAAUGUUGUUCUUGGUGUCCUUUUAUUCAUCGAAGAGCCGAGUGAGCUCAUAGAAGUGUGGGAGGUUCUGAUGUGCUUCAUAACUUGAAUUACCAUCUCUUUAACUUCAAACAAACUCUUCAUGCCUUUCCUCUCCAUCCAGAUACAAAGGAUACUGGACUGAGAAGAACCGCUCUGUAAUGGAUCUCUAUUCUCCAAACCACUCAGGCUAACUCUUUGAACAAUGUGAAGGACCAGAGCAGGAGGUGACAACAGUGCAAGAGUUUUGGUCCACACCUGCACUAGUUUUUGUGUGUGUGUGUGUGUGUGUGUGUGUGUGUGUGUGUAUAUUAUAAAUCAACAGUUUCACAGAGUGAACACUUUUAGUAGCUGUUGAUGUCUUUAUAGUCCACUGAUCCUCACAUUUAUUACCAGGGUAUUUCAAGUCAGUCUUCACAAAUCCAAGUUCCCGGAGGCAUUUCCGAUAAAGAAAGGGUCUAUAAUAUUUGAAUUUUAUACUACUUUUUUUUUUCUUCUUCUUUCUACUGUUUACACGUUCCCCAUGAACCACACUCAUUCCUUGACUGCAGUGUGAGUUCAAUGAGCUGCCUUUGUUGUAAACUUCAGUUGCUCUUACAGUAGAUUAUGAUUACAAGCUCUGCACAUCAAGCCUCGUUUGAUUUCUAGGAUGUUAUUUGGUUAGUCUCCAAAUGGUUGAAGAUCAUGCAAAACAAUUUUAAUAAAAGAAAAGAAAAGAAAAAAAAAACAACAACAAAAACUGUUAGGUGACCUAAACAUAUCGUUCAUUCAAGCUAACGUAGCUAGCUACUGUACAGUGGAUGUAAAAAUACGUUAUGUGAUGUGUAAAAGAAAAAAAAAGAAAAGAAAAAAGAGAGAGAGAGAGCGUUAAUGUGGUCUAGUUAUAUAACUACCAGAAUUCCAGUUAAAAAUAAAAAGAAAUAUUUUCUGGAGGAAAAGAAAAUGAAAAAAAAAAAUAAUAAAAAAUCUCCCAAAAAAACAACAACUAAAAUAACCUCAGUGCUCAAGUGUGCACACCCCUUAACUAAUAUGUCGUUACAGUACCUUUUUCUUGUAAUACCACGCUUGGUCUUUUUGUGGUAGGGUCUACCAAGUACCAGCAUACAUUGAUUCAGUAGUUUUAUUCCACUCUUCCUUAUAAAAAUGCUCCAGAUCUAUCAAAUUGCAAAGGGAUCUCCUGUGCACAGCCCUCUUCGAAUUAUUUCACAGAAUUUUUAUUUAUUUAUUUUUUCAAUGGGAUUGUUGACAUGGGGUUGUUCUCCAAAAAGGCUCUAUCAGACUAUACCACGUUUUGCCACAUGGUUUGGGGUGAUUUAUUCAGCCUUGGAUCUUUUACUUUGUGAGAAAUGGCUUCUGCCUAGCGUGCAGAUUAUGAGAGAUUGUUGUCACAUGCAGGGCGUGAUCAGUUCUUGCCAGAUAUUCCUGUAGCUCUUCUAAUGUUGCCAUAAGUCUCUUGGCAGCCUCCUUCUUCUUGUCCAUUAGUCUUUUUUUUUAUAUAGAGCUAUGUCUUGUUUUUGGUAAUGCCCCUGGUCUGGGUGCCCCAAUUUUCUCCACUUGUUGAGGAUGGCCUUCGAUGUGUUCCACAGUACAGCAAAUGUUUUGGAACUUCUUUUUUUUUUUUUUUUGCGCCUCUCCUGAUGAAUGACCUUUGACAUUGAGAUCACGCACAUGUCCUUUGUGGACAGUCCCAUGGGAGCAGCAAGAUAUCAAGACAAUCAUCCGGAAACAUUUUGAUCUUUAUUUGUAUGAAAGUUACUUUUGAACGAGGGUUUUAAUGUGAUCGGGUAGUUCUGAGCACAGUCACAUGCCCCGUUAUAAAAUGGUGUACUUUUUUCUUUCUAAUUUUGUCUUUUUUUCUUUCUUUCUUUUUUUCCACCACUAAAAUGUUUCUAUGUGUAUUUUCACGUAUAACUCAUUGUGUGUGUGAAAGGAGGUGAUUUAUCUUGGUUUAAUUUUUUUUUUUUACAUAACAAAAACCUGCAAUUUUAACAAGUGUGUGUAGACUUUUUUUUUUUAUUGAUUUAUUUUUAUAUAUCCUCUGUAGCUACAGAACCUGAUGCCAUAUCGCCCUUUGUAACCCUGAUGUUUUGCUCUGUUAGCAUGCAAGCCUGAAAGUUACUGUUUAUAUCUCACUGCAUUUCUAGAAUUAUUAACGUUCCUGCACUACUGAUCAGUCAGUCAUGUUAUGUGACUGAUGUUGAUAUUUGAUCAUAUUUAAAAAAUACAUAUAUAUAUAUAUUUUUAAACAAAAGUCAAAUAAUUGCAAGUGGUGUGGUUGACUUUCAUUCGAAUAUGUACAAAUAAGUCCAAAAAAAUUGGGAACAUGCAAACCAUCCUACAUCUCUAACUAUGACAUUGGUAAUAGCCAGAGAUAUUUUGGGCCGAAUAACAAUAACAAGGAUUCAUUUGUUUACCGCAUAGCCACAGGUCGCAGGUCAUUUGAAACCUCCAUUGGAUGAAUUUCCGUCACCAUCCAUCCAUCCAUCCAUUUUCUGUACCGCUUUUCCUACAUCGGGUCAUUGAGGAGCCUGGAGCCUAUCCCGGGGAACUCGGGGCACAAGGCGUGGGACGCCCUGGACAGGGUGCCAACUCAUCGCAGGACGCAAUCACACACACACUCGCACACCCAUUCACAGACUACAGACAAUUUAGAAAUGCCAAUCAGCCUACAACACACGUCUUUGGACUGGGGGAGGAAACCGGAAUACCCGGAGGUAACUACACGUGCCUGCAUCUAUCUAACAGGGAAAGUGUGAAACGUUUUCAUUGCUGUGAAGCAGAUUAUCUAGAUGAAGCUCCCGGACACAUGGCUUCAAUCCUCCCAGGAUACAUGGCAAUUUGUUAAAAACAGACAUGGCAGCGAUCACUGUUUGCAGAGAAACUCAUCUUCCAUAAAGAAAACAUCACGAUACUGUAGUGCACACACUUGGUUCUUAAAGGGAACAGCUGGUAUGAUUGGAUACGACAGCACCUCACAUAACCACACCUCUUAAUAAUAUAUUCAUUCAAACCCAACCCAAUUACGAUCACGGAAGUACAUCCCGCUGUGACAUUUAAGAGAGUCAAAAACAAACAAACUGUAAUUAAUGUUAAAGCUGUAAUCACCAAAGUGUUGUGGUUUUACUCAAGGUCUGGACUUUGUUGUUUUUUUGGGUGCACAUUUUAUCGAACCACCAGGUGCUUGGUUUGACACUAAAAAUUUUACAUUCACGCUUUCUUAAUAAUUACUAUAAAUACAUUUUUUUUUUCCUACAAUAGAAUGUUCAUUUUGUUCAGUAAAAAAAAAAAAAAAAAUGACCUUGUUAAUUUGUUUAUAUUCGACAAAUUAAUGAACGUAUCGCUGCUAUAAUUUAGAAUAACGAGACAGAUUAGUGGUGAGAUCUCCACUCUGGCGUCCUUUAAUAUGAAAUCAGAUCACAAGGAAAAAUAAUUCAACGAGUAGAUGGUAUAAACGCUAUGCUCUUGCAAAGCAUCUCUGAUACUACGUGCUCCUUUAAUAUGAAACCGGUCAUAUUUCGUCUUAUAAAGUCUAACUCGAUAAAAAAAUAAAUGGUCUAACUGGAGUCAGAGCAGG
ensembl:lncRNA